CUUAGGGUUUCCUCUCUCGAAUUGAAUCUAUUCGCUCUAUUUGAUUUUAGAAUCUGAAUCUUUAGUAAAACACCAUUCAGUUCUCUCCUAUAACAACCCCCUCAAAUAUCUCAUAGUAUAAAAUUCUUGCCUUAUUCGUUUUUUCCAUCUCAGAUUUUAAUCAACUGUGUGCUUUGCUUUUCGCUUUGCCACGCAACGAAAAAUGGGCGAUACUGAUGAUGAUGAGAGGUACCUACAAAAAUCCCACUCUUCCAAUCUCAAAAAACAUCUUUUUUAUUCCCAUCCAAUCCAGAAGCUUAACGACUAUUACCUAGAAGGAGAAGAUGAUGAUGCUGACAAUGAAGAUGAAUGCAACGAUUACUUUGAACAAAAGGGCAACGAAAAUGGCGCUCAACGGGAUAACCCUAAUGGGUACUAUCCGAAUUUCGAAGAAAAUGACGGUUUUAAUAGAUAUCCGAAAAGGCAAAAGUUAAGAAACUCGAUUCCAGGUAAUGAAUUUGCGUUAGCAAGUGAUGCAAAAUUGUUUGAUGGUUGGACAGAGCACGAGGCCUUUGUGUUGCUGGAGGUGUGGAGCGAUAGGUUCUUGCAGUUGGGGAGGAGGAGCUUGAGGAGUGAAGAUUGGAUUGACGUUGCGGACAAGGUAAGCGAAGAAUUAAGGAUUGACAAAAAGAAGGCGCAAUGCAGGCAAUUAGUAGAUAAACUGAAGAGAAAGUAUAAGAAGGAGAAGGUGAAGGUGGAGAAACAAGGAUUGAAUUCGAGCAAGUGGGUGUUUUUCAGGAAGAUGGAUAUGUUGAUGGGAUCUUCUUCUAGACAAGAAAGUGGAUUGGCUUGCGGGGUGGAUUCUGGGGAGUUUGUGUUCAUGAACACGAGGGUAUAUUUGGAUCGGUCCAAUGGGUUUGAUGAAAUGGUGGAUAGUCCAGACGGUUCAGAGAUUGAGGACAAUGACGAGGAAGGUGAUGGGGAUUAUGGGAGAAGAGGGGGGAUAAGAAAAGAGAGGAGUUCUUGUAGGUUAUUGGCAGACUCAGUGCAGAAAUUUGGGGAGAUAUAUGAGAAGAUUGAGAUUAGUAAGAAGGCGCAGAUGAUGGAGCUGGAGAAAAUGAGGCUAGAGUUUCGUAAGGAGUUGGAGUUGCAAAAGAAGCAUAUUCUAGAAAGAGUUGAAGCAGAGAUUGCAAAAAUACAAGAAGAAGAUGGAGAGGAGGAGAAUGAUGAUGUUUCUACAGAGAGUCUCAGUGAAUAGCUACUGCAACUAAGUUUUUGGAAGGAUGAUUACAUUUCCAAGUGGUGUAACUGUUUUGGACAACAGAUCCUGUAUUCUCACUUUGGCAAAUUAUAACUUGUGCAAGUUCUUUUAGCAGUUUGAGGUUUUCUGUUUGUGGUAGGAAUGGAUAUUUCACUUCAGCAGUCUUUACUUGUGUUUAUCAUCGCUCCUACUUAAAAUUUCUUGACGAUGAGAGUUUCCUACCUUGCGGAGAUCAAAUUUUAGCAUAGAAAGAUCCAAGGUGGGCAGUAAGAGUUCAGAUACAAGAAGUUAAAUUUUAACCAUGCAUGUAGUAUAAGAUUUAAUAGUGGAAAUUGAAGGGAAAACAACCAAAUAUAACUUUUGCUGUUAAAUACAAAAAGUUCUUUCUUUGGACCAUAGUUAAAGUUUUGAUUGAUACUUAGUGAAUCUGUAAGCUUCUGGAAUAUAUGUGUAGUUGUACUUCAGGUUUUCAGACUUCAAUUCCUGCAUUUGUAUGCAUGGUCAGUGUUGUGACCCCUGGGCAAUCUUAUUACAAGAAGGUGCCAA